CCUACGGGCGGCAGCAGUGGGGAAUAUUGGGCAAUGGGCGCAAGCCUGACGCAGCAACGCCGCGUGAAGGAAGAAGGCUUUCGGGUUGUAAACUUCUGUUCUCAGGGACGAAGAAAGUGACGGUACCUGAAGAAUAAGCCACGGCUAACUACGUGCCAGCAGCCGGGGUAAUACGUGGGUGGCAAGCGUUAUCCGGAUUUACUGGGUGUAAAGGCCGGGUAGGCGGGAAAGCAAGUCAGAUGUGAAAACCACGGGCUCAACCUGUGGCCUGCAUUUGAAACUGUUAUACUUGAGUACUGGAGAGGCAGACGGAAUUCCUAGUGUAGCGGUGAAAUGCGUAGAUAGUAGGAGGAACACCAGAGGCGAAGGCGGUCUGCUGGACAGCAACUGACGCUGAGGCGCGAAAGCGUGGGGAGCAAACAGGAUUAGAUACCCUAGUAGUC
rnacentral:rRNA from 1 species